rnacentral:rRNA from 1 species
AUUGAACGCUGGCGGCAGGCUUAACACAUGCAAGUCGAACGAGUGGCGGACGGGUGAGUAAUGCUUGGGAAUCUAGCUUAUGGAGGGGGAUAACUACGGGAAACUGUAGCUAAUACCGCGUACCAUAGGGUGAGCCCAAGUGGGAUUAGGUAGUUGGUGAGGUAAAGGCUCACUAAGCCGACGAUCUCUAGCUGGUCUGAGAGGAUGACCAGCCACACGGGGACUGAGACACGGCCCAGACUCCUACGGUAGGCAGAAGUGGGGAAUAUUGCGCAAUGGGGGAAACCUGACGCAGCCCUGCCGCGGGAAUGAAGAAGGCCUUCGGGUUGUAAAGUUCUUUCGGUAGCGAGGCGUUAACUACAGAAGAAGCACCGGCUAACUCCGUGCCAGCAGCCGCGGUAAUUC